GGGGGGGGGGGGGGGGGGGGGGGGGGGAUGGGGGUGGGGGGGGGGGGCCGUGCGGGUGUGGGGUGCUCGAGUGGCGGACGGGUGAGUGACACGUGAGUAACCUGCCCUGGACUGUGGGAGAGAGUCAGGAAACGGGGGCGAGUACCGGAUAGGAGCUCCUGCUGCAUGGUGGGGGGUGGAAAGUUUCGGCGGUUGGGGAUGAACUCGCGGCUGAUCAGCUUCUUGGUGGGGUAGUGGCUUACCAAGGCUUUGACGGGUAGCCGGCCUGAGAGGGUUACCGGCCACAUUGGGACUGAGAUACGGCCCAGACUCCUACGGGAGGCCGCAGUGGGGAAUAUUGCACAAUGGGCGGAAGCCUGAUGCAGCAACGCCGCGUGCGGGAUGACGGCCUUCGGGUUGUAAACCGCUUUCGCCUGUGACGAAGCGUGAGUGACGGUAAUGGGUAAAGAAGCACCGGCUAACUACGUG
rnacentral:rRNA from 1 species